GGACUUCCGGGGUGGCGCCAUCGGCAAUGGCGGACUCCCUCUGAACUGGAGGGACUAGCUCCACGCGAAACGGGUCUUCUCCGCUACGGCGAAGCGGGGACCCUUUUAAAAAUCACAGGCAGAUGAAGCCUGUGACCAUGGGACUCGGCGGGCACCUUUAGCGCCCCCCCAACCCGCAAAGGAACCCACUAACGGGCUCCGAAGUGAAGAGGGGGAAGUGGCGCGGUGCUGUGAGUCAACUGCUAUUUCCGUGGAGCGAAGCCGCAUAGCCGUUGCCGGAGAGCGCUGCCUUUUUUCCUGGGACAAUUUGGAUUCUAAAAUAAGCACCCGUGAGUACUUAAACUUUGAACAACUGGACUUUAAAUAAGGACUUGCGAGCAGAAAGGAAUUGGACUUAAAAAUUUAUUUCAAUUUGGUACUGAAACGGGAAGGUCUAAACAGGAAGUCAGCCUUCCGUUCUUUUGUAGACAGAAUAAAGCAAAGACAACGUAAACUAGAGCUCAGAAAAUUGCCUCUAAAGGAUUGGAUUUCAUCAUUUAAAAUAGUGGAACCCCCCUUCGACAGCAGGAGAAGAAGGGGGAUCUUUUUCGGACUGUUUAAACCUGCAGAAGUGAGUUUAAAGUAAAGUAACUUUCCACCGUCCUGAUUCUGGAGCGGGGUGUCAGGACUGACGUUUGAAGCUCAUUGACCAGAGACAAACGUUUUUGACAGAUAGCUAAAAGAAGAGAAACAUAGUGAUUCCACUGUUUCCUUUCGCAGUUUAAAGGAACAAAUAUUGAC